GAUGAACGCUGGCGGCGUGCCUAAUACAUGCAAGUCGAGCGAACAGACGAGGAGCUUGCUCCUCUGACGUUAGCGGCGGACGGGUGAGUAACACGUGGAUAACCUACCUAUAAGACUGGGAUAACUUCGGGAAACCGGAGCUAAUACCGGAUAAUAUAUUGAACCGCAUGGUUCAAUAGUGAAAGACGGCUUUGCUGUCUCUUCUAGAUGGAUCCGCGCCGCAUUAGCUAGUUGGUAAGGUAACGGCUUUCCAAGGCAACCAUGCGUAGCCGACCUGAGAGGCGGAUCGGCCACACGGGAGCUGAGACACGGUCCAUACUACUACGGGAGGCAGCAGUAGGGAAUCGUCCGCAAUGGUCGAGAGCAUGACGGAGCAACGCCGCGUGAGUGAUAAAGGUCUUCGGAUCGUGAAACUCUGUUAUUAGGGAAGAACAAAUGUGUAAGUAACUAUGCACGUAUUGAUGGUACCUAAUCAGAAAGCCACGGCUAACUACGUG
rnacentral:rRNA from 1 species